rnacentral:rRNA from 1 species
CCUACGGGCGGCUGCAGUGGGGAAUAUUGCACAAUGGGCGCAAGCCUGAUGCAGCCAUGCCGCGUGUGUGAAGAAGGCCUUCGGGUUGUAAAGCACUUUCAGCGGGGAGGAAGGCGUUAAGGUUAAUAACCUUGUCGAUUGACGUUACCCGCAGAAGAAGCACCGGCUAACUCCGUGCCAGCAGCCGCGGUAAUACGGAGGGUGCAAGCGUUAAUCGGAAUUACUGGGCGUAAAGCGCACGCAGGCGGUCGGUCGAGUCGGAUGUGAAAUCCCCGGGCUCAACCUGGGAACUGCAUUCGAAACUGGCAGGCUAGAGUCUUGUAGAGGGGGGUAGAAUUCCAGGUGUAGCGGUGAAACGCGUAGAGAUCUGGAGGAAUACCGGUGGCGAAGGCGGCCCCCUGGACAAAGACUGACGCUCAGGUGCGAAAGCGUGGGGAGCAAACAGGAUUAGAUACCCUUGUAGUC